GGCAUUUUUAAUUCACCAGAGCAAAUAUAAUCAGGGAAUAAUUGUCUACUCCUUACAUUCUCCAUGUGGUGAUGGUUUAUUACAUUUUUGGACGGAUGACCACUUGCAGUUGUUCUGAAUGGAAUGCUGCUAUGCCAUAAUUCAUGAUGAUGUUUUCUAAAUAAUGCUCCCUUAUUCAUGCUUGUAUUAUUAGAACUGGAACAGAUUUGAUCAGAAUUUCAAGACUUUCCAUUGCUAGUUUCUCUAAUGCAUGUUGUGGCUCACAUAUUGUAAUAAUAGAAUCGUAAUCGAACUUUCGAUAAAUUAAUAUUUUGAAUGUAGGAAGCUUUCUUUCCAAUUGUUCUCUCCUUUGCACUAUAAUUGUUUUGAAGUCAUUUUUCUCAUACAGUUUCUUCUCUUUUGGUAUUCGAAAUGUGCUAAUUAUCAUCAGCAAAUUUUGAGAAAAUUUUUAUUUGUUUUCUCUACUUGGCCAUGUGAGUGUGCUGUCUCCUCCUUGCGUGGUUAUCGAUGGUGUUGAUGUAGCUUGUGUUGUUGCUCCUCCGUUCUCCAUUUGUCUGAUUUUUUUUGUUGGUGGUCGCGGGUGAUAAAUGAAGACAUGAUUUCUAGAGAAAACCUUGAUUGAGAGAACCACUUGUAAGAUUUUUUGAAGAGCUUUAUAAUUUUAGGGACCCAAUCACUCAAAGGUAUGGGUCUUUUCAUUUUUUUCUUUGUUUAUGGAUUAUUACAAAAUUGCUAGAGCAUUGGUAUGUAUUUUUUUUUUUUUUUUUUGGGGAUGAAAUUGAUUC